ACGGACUCCCAGCUGCAGCGUGGGGGACUCUCCUACAUCCCAGCCAGCCAGGGGGGAAGGCGCCGGCCGCAGGUACUGCGCUCUCUGCGUGACAGCGGGCAUCAGGGCUUCUGUAUCUGCUGCUCAUCGCUAGCACAAGACGGCGCCGUGUGCAUCUCCUGGAUGAUGUGAUCUCCUACAUGAAUAGUGAAUACCGACUGAAGACGUCGUCUGCCUUAGAUGAUACAUUUCUUCAGAGGUUCCACAUUGUGAGAAACCAUCAUAUAGAAAAGGUUCUGUCUGCAAAAGUGCAUACAUUCAACUCUGCAUCAGGUUGAAAGUGCUUGUUACACUUACACGUUUGGCCCCAAAACAUACUUACCAACUUCUAAAGUCACCUCUCUAGGAGAAUCACAGAGAGGAGACUUUGCCAGCCACCAUGCUUUGAGAGUUUCAAAGGAGCCGAGCAUCAAAAUGAGGCUUAUAACUUCUAAAAAGACUCACCAAGGCAACAUCACAGAAAUGAUGACCCUUUUUGUAUACUUCCAUGAGAAAUUCUGUUUGUUACAUUGUUUGUUUCUUUGAUUGCAAUAAACUCCAAAACUACUCAACUAAAUGUGAUGCAGUUUUCACCAUUGUGUAGGCAAUUUUCCCAUGCAGGUUGUAGUAUCAUCAUAAUCGGUUGUCAGGUCCCCUACACUGCCUACCGGUUCAUUUUUGUUGAGAUUUCGGAAACCUACGAAAAAAUCUUCAUGUGGUCAUGACUGUUCUGCAGGUAAAAGGGCGCCUGAGCGGAGACGACUGCAUCAGCUAGUAAAAUAUAAAAAGACAUGAG